UUUUUUUUUUUUUUUUUUUUUUUUUUUUUUUUUAAUUGGUGAUAGGUGGACAGUUGGACUGGAUGAUCUUAGAGGACUUUUCCAACCUUGGUGAUUCUAUAAUAGUCUUUUGAACUAAUCAGGCUCUAAGAGCGGAGGGUACUUGCUGCACUAAAUAUUGCUUUAACUGGCAUAUACACUGAAUAUUUUAAAUUAUAACAAUAAGGUUUCCAAUUAGAUUUUUUUUUUCUGACCUUUAACUAAAGGUCACUCUGCUGGGAAACUCAUUUUUGCUCUAACCCCAGCAUGUUCCUUAAUAGAAGCCUCACUAUAUUUGGACUCCAGUCUUGGGAAUCUGUUAUUUAAAAACAAUGAGAAGCCAAUAUGGCCGAGUUUGUGUAACAAAAAUAGUGCUGCCACCUCAGCCUUUCUGAUUUAGGAAACAGCCCUGUGAGGCUAUUCUGCUUUCAGUUCUACAUUCUGUUUUCAGUGGAUACACAUAUUUCAUGUACAAACUGGUACAGCCCUGAUAGAACUACCUCCUACUCUCUUUCCCAGGGCAGCUAGGCAAACACCCAAAAGGGACUAUGGGAAGAAAAGCAUUUCUUCUAGAUGCUUAUUGCCAGUAGCUUCCUAAGGAGCUGGUAGCCUUACUCUGUGUUGAGGCCCUGGUGGCAGCCAGCUGGUGCAGUGGAGGGCACAGGUAAAUGGGCACAGGAAACAUGUCCAUAAACCACCAGGUUGGUGCCCAUGGCCAGAGGUGACAGCACAGCUGUGGUGUACACCUCCUCCAAAUUAAAGCAGAUUCCAGGCAUAGCUCUGCAUGUCCUUACAGCUUAUAACCAUUGCCUGCAUGGUGAGUCUAGGAAAUAAUGAGGUUAUAGUAGUGCAAGCAACUGCUAUACAAGCUAAUCAGCCCUGCCUGCCACUGGAAAAUAAUUCAGUGCAUGGGCUGACAACCUGAAGCCUUGCUUGAACUUUCAAGGCAGGACGUUGGUACAAGGAGAUGCUAAAAUAAACAGUUUAUGGGGCAAGAAACUCUUCAGGGGUCUGCAAGUUGUUGCUACAUCACAAAUUCACUUUGAGGAUCAUAGCCUUCUCAGUUGCAUGCUUCUUAACACAGCCAAUAUCUGCAGUUUCUAAGAACUGGUGCAACACCCCAAACAAAGGACGUGUCAGGCAUUACACAUGGCUAUAACUGCAGAACAUUACCAUAAAGUAUAAUUUACAGUUGGGUGAAAGGCUGCCAGCGUGGCCACCUACACACCAAUGUGUUGGAGCACUUCAGAACAAAGCUGCAAGCCUGGAUAUCUCUGAAUCUUUCCCAGAGUUUACACUUUGCUCUCUUUUAGAGUCAUAGAAUUAUUAACGUUGGAAAAGGCCACUAAGAUCACCUAGUCCAACUGUCAGCCCACCACCACCAUGCCCAUUAACUGGAUCACUAUGUCAUAUUAAUUCAAUAAUUUAAAUACAAGUUUUUUGUCAGCCGCAGAGCGUAUCUUUGCCCCUGUAAAGGGCCAGGUCUGCAGAACUGAGGGGCUUGAGGAUUAGAUAAAGCAGUUGGGAAUGAACCUAGCAGCUGCUGCUCCACACUGUGUUUGUUUGGUCUUAGUAGGCCCCUGAGAUUCGGCCAGAGAAGUUCUGGCUGUUGGCUGCUGCUGGAGUGCAGGGCAGAGAAGUGGUCUCCCUUGCUCUGGGCUCCUUAGAAAGGUGGCUGACAACACUGCCACCAGGGCACAGGCUGCUCCAUUGCCUGUGUGGCUGCAGCUGAGACAGAGCCUGGCCUGGCCCAGGGCUGCUGCCACCCCAGGGCACCAGUGAGGCCCUUUGCCAGCUCCUUGCAGGGCUGCAUGUGGCCCUUAUGCCUCCUGGGUCGGCCUUUGCACUCCCACACGGAGCAAGUUCGGCUUUCUCAUAAAUUAAAGCCAGCUCAGCAGUCUGGUUUGGAUUUACAUGAAUGUACUUGAAAUGCAGUUUGCCUCAUGGAUCCCGCAGGGAUAAGAAACCCGCAGUGCCUUGGUUUUGCCACAGACUUGACACACAGCCUGGGGCACAUUUGAGCUCCCUGGAUCCACUUUCCCAUUCAUUUUAUCUGGUUUUUGUUCUGCUCACUGGUUGCUCCUAUGCUGGCUGAGGUGGGCGGCAUACAACACCAUAAAACGUUUGAAGCUCUGCAGAUCUCAGCACGUCACCCAACACAGAGCUCUGUUCCUUCCACAAACGCGUGUAAACAAAUAUUUGUUCCUUGAUAUUAAAAUAACUAUGUUUUAAAUACAUUGUGGUAUAAAUGGAACCAUACGUUAAGGAACUGAACAAAAAAUGACAAGCUGGUUGAGUCACUGGCACAAGCACAUACUGUAUUGGUUGUCAAUGCAAAUGUUGGCUUUGUAGGCUGAUUUUAUUUACCCAAAUACACGCACCAUGCCCAAACUGGAAAUACUCCCACCCACAGGGUAUUUAAAGGAUGUUCAGAAUAACUCCCCUCCUGCAAAACUAGAGUUCUGUCUAAGACUGGAGGAUUGAGUGCACUCGAGGAUUGAAAUGAAGGAAAAUGUGGGUGACAAACGUCAGUUUUGGUCUCACAAACCAACACUGCAUUGUUUCCCUAUGAGGCUCCUCCACCUCAUCUUUCCUUGCACAGGGCUGGGCACACGAUGUGGAUACAAUCUUGCACGCUGUUGCAUAUGGGUCCUGCUCAGCCAGGGACCAGCACCUGCCUGCUUUUGAUGCAGAUACUGGGGCCAGAUGUAGGAACGCACACAGGAGGCAGUUUAGAGUAGGACAAUGGGAGUCCAGCACAGGCCCUGCUGGAGGCCCGGGCAUGGUCAGACGUUGUGGCUGUGAGUUUGACAGGGGAUUUAGACAGGAGCAGCCUCCACUCAGGCUUGUUCAUGCUUGUGCAGUGCCUGGAAUGGAGGCACUGCGGUGAGGAGUAGAUGUCUCCCUGCAUAGCUGUUACGACAUCCCCUGGGUACUGUGUGCAAGCUGCCCAUCCCCACCCUCACCUUCACACUGCAUGCCACCCCCAGUGCGCAGUUGUGCAACGGUGUUUGCAUUGCACCAGUUCUGAAAGUCUGAGAUACCUACAGAAGCUGGAGUGGGGAAAGAAAGAAAAAAGAAAAGAAAAGAAAAGAAAAGAAAAGAAAAGAAAAGAAAAGAAAAGAAAAGAAAAGAAAAGAAAAGAAAAGAAAAGAAAAGAAAAGAAAAGAAAAGAAAAGAAAAGAAAAGAAAAGAAAAGAAAAGAAAAGAAAAGAAAAGAAAAGAAAAGAAAAGAAAAGAAAAA
ensembl:lncRNA